CAGCCUUCCUCCUCACCCUCCUCUCCUUCACCAGCAUCAAACCUGCCUCAGUCUUUGUCCUCUAUGUUGCUACAGCCCUGACCGUCUCCCUCCAGGGCUUUCUGCACAGUUUGGUCUACGGCUGGCUGAGGCAAAACUUCCGUCAGGAGGCAGUGGGCAAGAGAUCCUCCCUGCAGCACCACUGGGGCCUCAAGACUUUCUACGACUCCCUGGGGGCUGUUCCCUAGGCUGCCACCUCACCCCGGUGCCUCCAGGCUGCCCAAAGCCUCGGCAGGAUUCGCACAUCCCCGGCAGUUCCCCACAGCCCGUCUGUAGCCAGGCAGGAUCUCUCUGGACUUGGCCCUUCGUGCCUGGAAAGGUUCGAGCAAGGCAGAGGCAGUGCUGCGCAGGUUUCCGACAGCACUGGGGGGGCUGCAGUGGCUCUGCCCCGGUAGGAAGCCCGCCCAUAGCCCCUCGCUGCUGGAGGCAGCCUGACUUCCCACUGCCCGCACCAUGCAGACAGCAAAACCACGAGCAGUCGCUGCACAGGAGAUGGACCACGGAGACGGGACAGGAGCUCUCUGGAAGAAGGAUGCCCCCGUUCUGCACCACGAACGACUCGGCUGUUGGCAGCAGCAGGGCUUUACAGGCUCACGAGCAUUCAGGUGCUGUGGGAGGAGGCUGGUGGCACACAGACAAUUUGGCAAUCCCUAGAGGUUCCAGCAACUGAACAUCGACUGCGACUAUCCCAGGGAAGGUGGCGGUUCUUUCUAUUCUGUUUGGUCUUGUUUCAGUGUUACGCUUUCCGCCAGAGAGCAAUCCAAAUUCCUCCACAGGGCUCGGGAGAAGGUGCUAACAAAUAAAGGUGUUACGGUUG